AAAGUUCCUCUCACUCCUUUUUAAAAUCCCCUUUAAGGUACUGGUCUUCAAUGAGGUCUCCCUGAAGCCUUCUCUUCUUCAUGCUUUACAAUCCCAGUUUUAAAAAUGGAAGUGAUGUUUACCUUCUUCCAGUCACUGAGGACUUUGCCUGACCACCAUGAAUUUAUAAAUAUGAUGGAGAGUAGUUGGAAACCACAUCAGCUGGUUCUCUCAAGACCCAGGGAUAUUUGUCAUUGUGCAAGUUUUGAGCUGGCUUCCCACCAAGUCUCCAAAACUUGACAAAAAGGCCUGCUUCCCAGAGAGGGAAGAAAAAAAAUGAACCACAGGGAAAAAAACUGAAAGAAGUUUGAACAAAACUGAAUUCUAUCAAAAAUAUAUAUUUACAAUUAUAUAUAUACAAUUUGAAUAUAUUAUCCACAACAGGGAGCUCCUGAGGGGGGAAAAAAGGAAAAGGGAGGGGGAAACAGGGAUAAAAAGAAGCCUAAAACCAAAUAUCUCCUAAAUAUACCCGUUAAUAGAGAGCUAGUCAAUAAAUAUAAAAAUGAAUUAAAUACUUCCCUGAUCGGCACAGCAGAGCUGUGCAAGGCAGCAGCCACCUCCCCCACACCUCCCGGAGAGACCGGAGAUAAUGGCAGGUCUGAGUAGCAGGCCCUGGCCUAUAUAAGCAAAGCCCAUCUACAGAGAGACCUGUCGCCUUCAGCCACUGGAAGAGAGAAGAGAGCGAACUCUCUUAUCUGCACCUUUUUAUAUGUUGUGUUACGGAAAGGAAUAGCAUGGAAUACUUCCUAAGUCACUACCCUAGUUCCUUCCUGGUUACAAGCUGGUCUCCAGGAAGGCCUAGGGUGAAAACUAUCACAGUCAUCAGGUCCCAUAGAAGUGUGGCUAUUCAGCUUCAUCAAGUGGUCCCAAACCCACUUUUCACUUAUAAUGGGAGGAACUUCACCCACACCCACCCAGAGGAUCAGGGAUGUGAGAGAAGUGGGAAGCAUGACUGCCGGGGAAGACUGAGGCAAAGAACCCAUUGAAAGCCUCAGCCUUCUCCGCAUGAGUCACCGCCAAUUCACCCCUCUUGCUUACUGGGAAGAUUCUUGAAGUUCUUUGCAGACACAAUGGAGGAUGUGAGUUCAAAGGAAAAUGUGACUGGAAAUGUUACACUUCGAUGAAAAAUGCUUAUGCUCGUUUCCUCAGCACUUGUGAAUGAACUCCUCAGAUCUCUCUUUAUAACACUGUAGAAAAGAAAAUUGUGGCUUUGGCUCAUUUGUUGUUCAAAUUGUUAACUGAUUUGCAAAUGCAAGACGAAAUACUUUUCUGACUUGUGCCUCUGCAAGGAGAGAAGGUUUCUUGGGAUCUGAUCAAAAGAAGAGAAAACAAAGCAAGACUUGCAGAAGUUAAAAUUUGUCUCCAACCAUCUUUGAUUUUUUACUGCUGGAAGUGGUACAUCAGCAGGAACCAAGAAUAAUACAAGUAUACAGUCUGGCUUUCAAAUCCCAGCAGAACUUUCAGACCUGAUGGUAGAAGUGCUUUAUCCCAGAUCACAACUCACGUCAUUCCCUCGUUGGUUCUGCAGUAGAGUUAUGAGAACUAAAUAUGCGCACGCACGCACGUGUGUGCACCGUGUAGGGUGUGCACUGCAGCUUUUGCAUGAUCAACAAACAUUUGGCAGCUAUCAAACAUAACAGCUUCCUCUUCUCAAGUCUAAUGACAGCCUUUUCUUUUGUACUCCAACCAUAAUUGUUAAUGCAUUAAAGAGCAAUCUAUGCCUUCAUAUUUGAAGGCAUGAAAGUU